AGGACGAACGCUGGCGGCGUGCUUAACACAUGCAAGUCGAGCGGAAAGGCCCUUCGGGGUACUCGAGCGGCGAACGGGUGAGUAACACGUGAGCAACCUGCCCUUAGCUCUGGGAUAGCUCCGGGAAACCGGAAUUAAUACCGGAUAUGACCUAGGCCGACAUCGGCCGUGGUGGAAAGUUUUUCGGCUAGGGAUGGACUCGCGGCCUAUCAGCUAGUUGGUGGGGUAACGGCCUACCAAGGCGACGACGGGUAG
rnacentral:rRNA from 1 species